rnacentral:rRNA from 1 species
UACGGAGGAUGCGAGCGUUAUCCGGAUUUAUUGGGUUUAAAGGGUGCGUAGGCGGACUGUCAAGUCAGCGGUAAAAUUGAGAGGCUCAACCUCUUCCCGCCGUUGAAACUGGUGGUCUUGAAUGGAUGAGAAGUACGCGGAAUGCGUGGUGUAGCGGUGAAAUGCAUAGAUAUCACGCAGAACUCCGAUUGCGAAGGCAGCGUACCGGCAUCCAACUGACGCUGAGGCACGAAAGCGUGGGGAUCAAACAGG